ACAAUAUAUUCGUGCAAUGGAUGCGAUUGAACCAGGUCAGGAUCGGAAGGUAGCAGCCUUAAGGUCCAACUUCCAUGUGCACUUUUUAUUUUAUA
rnacentral:SRP_RNA from 1 species